UUCUGGUUGAUCCUGCCGGAGGCCACUGCUAUCGGGGUUUGACUAAGCCAUGCGAGUCGAGAGGUGCAAGACCUCGGCGUACUGCUCAGUAACACGUGGACAAUCUGCCCUGAAGAGGAGGAUAAUCCCGGGAAACUGGGGGUAAUACUCCAUAGUUCGUGCUGACUGGAAUGUUAUGCGAACGAAAGAUCCGUCGCUUCAGGAUGAGUCUGCGGCCGAUUAGGUAGUUGUUGGGGUAACGGCCCAACAAGCCUGUCAUCGGUACGGGUUGUGGGAGCAAGAGCCCGGAGAUGGAUUCUGAGACACGAAUCCAGGCCCUACGGGGCGCAGCAGGCGCGAAAACUUUACCAUGCGGGCAACCGUGAUAAGGAAACCCCGAGUGCCAGCACAGGCUGGCUGUCCACCAGUGUAAAUAACUGGUGAAGAAAGGGCCGGGCAAG
rnacentral:rRNA from 1 species